CCUAUGGGGGGCAGCAGGCGCGAAAACUUUACAAUGCGGGCAACCGUGAUAAGGGAACCUCGAGUGCCUGUAUAUGCAGGCUGUCCAGGUGUCUAAAGAACACCUGAAGAAAGGGCCGGGCAAGACCGGUGCCAGCCGCCGCGGUAAUACCGGCGGCUCGAGUGGUGGCCACUUUUAUUGGGCUUAAAGCGUUCGUAGCUGGGUUAUUAAGUCUCUUGGGAAAUCCGACGGCUCAACUGUCGGGCGUCUAAGAGAUACUGGUAAUCUUGGAACCGGGAGAGGUGAGGGGUACUUCGGGGGUAGGAGUGAAAUCCUGUAAUCCUCGAGGGACCACCUGUGGCGAAGGCGCCUCACCAGAACGGCUUCGACAGUGAGGGACGAAAGCUGGGGGAGCAAACCGGAUUAGAUACCCCCGUAGUCC
rnacentral:rRNA from 1 species